ACACAUCCCUAUAAAAACCAGUCGUCCAUCCAUGCUCUAGAUCAUAUCAGCGAGAUUUCAAGCAACAUUUCUUCAUAAACCGUUCAUCUCUCUCAUUUCUCAUCAUCACCAUGUCGACCUGCGGCAACUGCGACUGCGCCGACAAGAGCCAGUGCGUGAAGAAGGGAAACUCAUAUGGAAUCGAAAUCAUCGAGACCGAAAAGAGCUACAAUGACAAUGUGGUCGAGGUGGCGGCAGCUGCCGAGAACGAUGGCAAGUGCAAGUGCGGAGCGGGCUGCACUUGUGUGAGCUGCACCUGUGGCCAUUAAGGUCCAUAUAUACAAGUAAAUAUAAAACCACAGGACUCAAGAAAGAAACAUGUAAUAAUGGUGUGGUGUGGUGUGGUGAAUAAACUAGUUUGUCUGUUUGUAUUUGUGUGUUGAUGUUGGGGUUAGCCAUGUCUGGCUUUCCUAUGUGGUUUGUAAUGAUCUUUACUAUUUCUGCUGUUUAAUGGACUUUUAUUAGUAUAUAA